CAUGGACGCUUGUCACGGCGGAACGUCGCGGUCGAGGACUCGUUAGAAACGACCAUGUUCAACGGUGAUUUGCGACACCAAGACGUGUAUUUGUUGUCCUAUUCGCGCAAAGUGUCGUUAACUUCACUGCUUUAAGUCACAAUUCUAUCGGAGCUUUCCCACCAAGCUGACCAGCGAACAAUUUUUGUGGAUUUCGCUAUCAGGUAGCAAGCAGAAGUGCCCUGACAAACUGUGCGGUGCUAACCACAUGGUGAGCCAAGCAUCCCAUAAGAGGUGCUUAUUCAGCAUCUGUGGCAAACUCAAAGGAAGCACGUUCCAAAAGCAGUGCUACAAGGAUCUGAGCUACAAGUUCUUUUCAACGAACGGAUCAGAUGCCUGAGAGCCACGGGCCGGCUGCUUCUGGCCUACACAGACAGUGCAGCCACCACAGUAAAGUUCUUGCAAAGACAUUCUAUAAAAACUGGCCCAAAGGUGGACAGAAGGCAGUACCGAUGGACACACGAGAAGCCAUCGGGCUGCCUCAGAAACUGUGACUGAGCAUUAACCUAAAGGAGCCAAGUGAAGCUGUUCACGGGCCAUGCAGACAGUUUCAAAAGCGGGCUGUCAGCACUUUUGACACUUAUGUUUAUGAAUACAUCUGCCAAAGUUGUGUUCAAAGAA